UCUGUCAGAAGGGGAUUUCGCAUGACUCACACGCAAGUGUAUAAAAGAGAUGCAAACCCACAUGUUGGUUUACUGUUCAAUGGGAGAUAGAAAGGCAAAUACAGGAGGAGAGAAGAAAAGAAAGAAGAAAGACAAACACUGGUUGCUGGAAGAGGAAGUUUUUUGGAGUACAUGUAAUCCAGGACAUCCUCAACUGCAUGAGCAGCAACACUGAGGUAAGCAUGUGGCAUCCAUCUACCAUCAAGUUUUGUCCCAGGUUGAGGUUAAUGCUAAUCGUGAUAGGGGUUGUUCAUUAGCAGACACCUAACAUGUUAGCAUUAGCUUCACCUUGGGAGGGGUCACCAACGCUGAAGUCAUCAGGCAACUGAGGAAUACGAUGCAGCAACGCACACAGUGAAAAGUGGACUAACAUUGGCUAUCAUGGACUUUCCUGCUCUAACUGAUGUCAGAUCAGAUGUCAAGGUGCUGCAGUUGUGUUGCACUUGAGCAAAUGUGAAAGACCAUGUGUUUUAACCUGUAAACCCACAUAGGUAUAGUUGUCACUUUGGCUCAUUGAACUUCUUCAUAGGCAUGUGCAGAGUAAGACCUUUUUGAUUUGGGGUAUAGUCCAUAUUCAAGUUAAAUCAUAGCCAUGAUCAACAUAAGCCUGGUUACUCAGAACAAACAGAAUAAGCUGUCUGGCUUUGAACCAAUUCAUACUUGUAUAUGUAUCAAUUAUAUCAUCCUAUGAAGGAACAUUUAGUAUUCUAUAUGAAAGAAGUGUGGUAUAUGUGGUACAAAUGCUGUAUUUUGACAAUGAAAGCAGUUGGCACAACAAGAUAUUGUCCACCAUCCAACUGCUGUGAGUAAUUUUUUAUUUUUCAGAAAAACUGAAGGAUUGACUGUUGUAAAUAUUAGGGCAGUUCUCAUAUUACUUAAGCUAAAUAAAUUGUUGAAAACCAUAAAUACAUUACCAAAGAGUUGAAAACAAACUCAUAACUCAUGAAAAGCUGAAUAGAAAUUGUUAAAAUGAAUGAAUGGCGAAUAAAUGGUUGAUUAAGAUGAUGUAAUAAUCUGCCUUUUCAUGUGCUUAAUUUUGCUGUUGUGAACAUAUUGAAAAAGGGGGGCAGCCGUGGCCUAAAGGGGGGCAGCCGUGGUCUAAAGGGGGGCAGCCAUGGCCUAGAGGUUGGAGAAGCGGCUUAUGAUCGGAGAGUCACCGGUUCGAUUCCCCCACUGGAUGGGCAGGAAAGAUCUCCCUCCAUUAGUUGGUUGAUGUGCCCUUGAGCAAGGCACUUAACCCCCCAAUAUGCUCCCCAGAUGCUUGAUGCUGCCCACUGCUCCUGUGUGUGUUUCACUGCAUGUAAUUUGCCGGGUGUUGCAUGUCUGUGUUCAACUGAGGAUGGGUCAAAUGCAGAAGACGAAUUCAGUGUGUGUAUGUAAAAAUAUAUAUACUGUCGAUAAAGCUGAUUCUUAUAUUAGCCACACCAGAGGUAACUAUCUAAAAUUUCAGCGAUUAGAGACAAAGAGGGGAAAAAAAAGAAAAAAAAAAAAAAUCU